UUUACUAAAAGAUGAAAUGAAUUUGUCAAUUGUGUGUUGAUUGUUUUCUUAUCCUUGACAAAAGUUUCAUAUUGUAUGUCAUUUUGUAAGUGGUUAUAUAUGAUUUACAAGUCAGCUGUCUAGAACUAAUAUUAUUCGAUUCGAAUUUUUGAUAGAACGUCAAUAAAUAAUAUUGAUUUUCAAUAUGACUGUAUUACUUUAAAUCUGCCUGGUAAUGUAUGAUAAAACAAAAAUUAAAAUAUAAGAAGUUUUUAAUUUUUAUUACUUUGUUAUAGUUUAUUCAUGCGUUAAAUGCGUAUAAUUAGACGACUAUAUGAUGAAAUUCCAGCAAAACAGGUUCUUUUACAAUAGACAAGAAUUUAGCUUGUUUUUGUUACAUUAUUAAUUAAGAUAAGUCACUGUUAAAAUAAUACACGAUUAAAACAUUUUUAUUCUCUAGCAAUAAAAUUAUAAUUAAUUUCUAUGAAUUUAAAUCAAUGGGUUUUCUGUGCAUCAAUUCUGUGAUAAAUAUAAGUUCAUAUAGGGAUUAUCGCAGUUCACCAGUGGGGUUAACGGAGUUUUUCAUAGAGGAGUGAAUAUAUGUUUUAAGAACCUCGAAUCAUUAUCCACACGACCGUCCAUGGCAGUCUGUCUGUCCACAAAUAAAAUUCCAUUUGCGUUGCUGAAACAAGGUUAUUGUUGCGCAGUUUUCGAACUGCAUUGGUAUUGCUCAUAAGUUUGUAUAAUUAUGAACAACUGAUUCAUCAUAGUCGAGACAUAACACUUGAGUAUUCUGUGACAAGGACGAAUUGAAAUGUUCAGAAAAGGAAAUAAUACUCAAUUGUAUAACAUUAAAUAGCAAGUUUACCAUAAGUUAACUACACAUUAGAAUGAGUUCUCAUUCAAGCCCUAGUCAUGAUCGAAUAAUAAUAUUUUGUAUAGGCAGUUCAUUAAUACAUAGAGACUAUGCAGGAGUCAAAAUAUCAUUUGCGGCAUAAAUGUUGGUUGACAGGCGGUAAUCAUAUUUUCAGUGAUUUUAUUUCCAAGUCUAAGUCACAUUCACAAAAUUCGAUACUCACACAAUGUAGAUCUAAAUAUUUUAGUAAAUACCCUUAAUAAGAUUUUGUAAGAAUAAGUUUUUUAGGUAUUUCACUAUUUUUAUAUCAGAAGUGUUUUUA